rnacentral:rRNA from 1 species
AGUGAACGCUGGCGGUAGGCCUAACACAUGCAAGUCGAACGGCAGCACAGAGGAGCUUGCUCCUUGGGUGGCGAGUGGCGGACGGGUGAGGAAUACAUCGGAAUCUACUCUGUCGUGGGGGAUAACGUAGGGAAACUUACGCUAAUACCGCAUACGACCUACGGGUGAAAGCAGGGGAUCUUCGGACCUUGCGCGAUUGAAUGAGCCGAUGUCGGAUUAGCUAGUUGGCGGGGUAAAGGCCCACCAAGGCGACGAUCCGUAGCUGGUCUGAGAGGAUGAUCAGCCAGACUGGAACUGAGACACGGUCCAGACUCCUACGGGAGGCAGCAGUGGGGAAUAUUGGACAAUGGGCGCAAGUCUGAUCCAGCCAUACCGCGUGGGUGAAGAAGGCCUUCGGGUUGUAAAGCCCUUUUGUUGGGAAAGAAAUCCAUCUGGUUAAUACCCGGGUGGGAUGACGGUACCCAAAGAAUAAGCACCGGCUAACUUCGUGCCAGCCGCCGCAGUAA